UCAAAUUUGAAAUCUGGCCUCGGCCCGAGUUGUAAUUUGUAGAGGAUGCUUUUGGUGCGGUGCCUUCUGAGUUCCCUGGAACGGGACGCCUUAGAGGGUGAGAGCCCCGUAAAGUUGGACACCAAGCCUAUGUAAAGCUCCUUCGACGAGUCGAGUAGUUUGGGAAUGCUGCUCAAAAUGGGAGGUAAAUUUCUUCUAAAGCUAAAUACCGGCCAGAGACCGAUAGCGCACAAGUAGAGUGAUCGAAAGAUGAAAAGCACUUUGAAAAGAGGGUUAAAAAGUACGUGAAAUUGUUGAAAGGGAAGCGCUUAUGACCAGACUUGUGCCCUGCGGAUCAUCCAGCCUUCUGGCUGGUGCACUUCGCUUGGUUCAGGCCAGCAUCGGUUUUCUGAGGGGGAUAAAAGCUUCAGGGACGUGGCUCCUCCGGGAGCGUUAUAACCUGUUGCAAAAUACC
rnacentral:rRNA from 2 species